UUUUCUUCUUUUUGUUUUUUUUUUUUGGUUAAAAAAUAUUGUUAAUAACUGAAAUAUGGUUAAACAAUUUGUGGUGUUUGAUGGGAAAAUUUGAAUCAUUGGGUUGAACACACACGCACACACAAUGGGCACAUAAUGUACAAAUUAAAAUUGUUUGCUUAUCGAGUGAAUUGAUGGAGCAACACAGA